AUGGACACUACAUAGAGGAAAUUUGUUGAUGGUGUGAUACAGUUUGGGAGACAUGAAAGCUAUGGGGAUGAAGACCUUGAAAGGGAAAUGCAUGGCGAUUUCUUCUUCCUUAUUUCUUUCCCCCUGGUUUACUUCUCUUCAGUUUCUAUUCUUGGGUGCUGUCUCCUUGUUAUUGAGAAUACAGCCAGGUGCAGUGGCACACACCUGUAAUCACAGCAAUUUAUGAAGCUGAGGCAAGAAGAUCUCAAGUUCGAGGUUUGCUUCAGCAACUUAAUGAGAUCUGCAGCAACUUAACAAUACCUUGUCUCAUUCAUAAGGGCACUGUCAGAAUCUUCCCAGAACAAGAUGCUGAGUGGCAUUGGGAGUCUUGUGCUGGGACUGAUCUUUCUUGGCUUGGGCCUUACUGUCUACUUUUGGCAUAAGAAAGAUGCAGAGACUUUGCUCACUACCUUCAGUGACUGACUCAGUGGCUUUGGGG